rnacentral:tRNA from 1 species
AGCCUUAUAGUCAAAAUAUGAUUUUAAAUUGCAAGUUUAAAGUUGGCUGUGUGCCUAAGGCUU